CUCCCGGUUUCAUUCGAAACCAUUCUUCAUUGUCUGUUAAAGGCUGU
rfam:Vibrio nigripulchritudo str. SFn1 chromosome, complete genome.